rnacentral:rRNA from 1 species
AUUGAACGCUGGCGGCAGGCCUAACACAUGCAAGUCGAGCGGAGCGGCGGACGGGUGAGUAAUGCCUAGGCAUCUGCCUGGUAGUGGGGGAUAACGUCCGGAAACGGGCGCUAAUACCGCAUACUAUCAGACGAGCCUAGGUCGGAUAAGCUAGUUGGGGGGGUAAAGGCCUACCAAGGCGACGAUCCGUAACUGGUCCGAGAGGAUGAUCAGUCACACUGGAACUGAGCACGGGUCCAGACCCCUACGGGAGGAAGCGGUGGGGAAAAGUGGACAAUGGGAGAAAGCCUGAUCCAGACAUGCCGGGUGUGUGAAGAAGGGCUUCGGAUUGCAAAGCGCUUUAAGUUGGGAGGCGUUACCGACAGAAUAAGUACCGGAUAACUUCGUGCCAGCAGCCGCGGUAAUUC